rnacentral:rRNA from 1 species
GAUGAACGCUGGCGGCGUGCCUAAUACAUGCAAGUCGAGCGAACGGACGAGAAGCUUGCUUCUCUGAUGUUAGCGGCGGACGGGUGAGUAACACGUGGAUAACCUACCUAUAAGACUGGGAUAACUUCGGGAAGCCGGAGCUAAUACCGGAUAAUAUUUUGAACCGCAUGGUUCAAAAGUGAAAGACGGUCUUGCUGUCACUUAUAGAUGGAUCCGCGCUGCAUUAGCUAGUUGGUAAGGUAACGGCUUACCAAGGCAACGAUGCAUAGCCGACCUGAGAGGGUGAUCGGCCACACUGGAACUGAGACACGGUCCAGACUCCUACGGGAGGCAGCAGUAGGGAAUCUUCCGCAAUGGGCGAAAGCCUGACGGAGCAACGCCGCGUGAGUGAUGAAGGUCUUCGGAUCGUAAAACUCUGUUAUUAGGGAAGAACAUAUGUGUAAGUAACUGUGCACAUCUUGACGGUACCUAAUCAGAAAGCCACGGCUAACUACGU